GACGUAGGGCGCGAGCGUUGUCCGGAUUUAUUGGGCGUAAAGAGCUCGUAGGCGGCCUGUUGCGUCUGCUGUGAAAUCCCGGGGCUUAACCCCGGGCGUGCAGUGGAUACGGGCAGGCUGGAGGCAGGCAGGGGAGAACGGAAUUCCCGGUGUAGCGGUGAAAUGCGCAGAUAUCGGGAGGAACACCAGUGGCGAAGGCGGUUGCCUGGGGCUUUGCUGACGCUGAUGCGCGAAAGCGUGGGGAGCGAGUCCGG
rnacentral:rRNA from 1 species